AUUAUUUAAGUGGCACCAGGCAAAGCAGCUCUGCCUCGCCGGGGAGGGUAUGCUCAGCUGGGAGAAGUCCAGAAGAGUGCCAACACAUUCACCCCCACGUUAAAAAAGGGCGGGUUUAGGGGCUGCUGUGGAAAACAAACACUGCGCCCCAGCCUGGGGGCAGCAGUGACCCCGAGCGUGUCCCAGCAAAGCCACGACUGAGCUCUACAACGCGUUUCUUGCGUUAGAGAGCGCACUGCAACUGCAACGCGCUUCCAACUGACCUCCUGGCAGAGGGAUGAGGGUUAGGUUGGUAAGGACACGGAAAUCAAGUGACAGCCCACGGCUGUGGGAGCAGAGCUCACGAUCUUUUGACUCCUGAAGAAAAUCCAUCCCUUUCUGAACGAGGAGAGCCGAAUGCUGGUACAGCAGAAUGAAUUACUGCGGAACAGAGGUGUCAACCCCCGAGAGGCACGGUUUUGUUUGCUCCUCUCUGGAGAGAGAGAAAGCAGCUGGUUACAACCCUGCUUCCAGGAAAGGUGGGGAACUAAUUACUUGAAGUGAAGAAAGAAUAAAUAGAGCUUCUUUGAUGGAGCCAUUAACUCGCUGCUCCCUGCAGCCAGUUGGAAACGUCCCCUUUA